rnacentral:snRNA from 1 species
AUUCUCUCUUCAGCAGCACAUAAAGUAAAACUGGAACCAUACAGACAUUAGCAUUGCCCUUGUGCAAGGAUGACAUGCAAAUUCAUGAAGCAUUCCAUUUAUUA